GAUGAACGCUGGCGGCGUGCUUAACACAUGCAAGUCGAACGGUGAAGGCGGAGCUUGCUCUGCUGGAUCAGUGGCGAACGGGUGAGUAACACGUGAGCAAUCUGCCCCUGACUCUGGGAUAAGCGCUGGAAACGGCGUCUAAUACUGGAUACGAGCUGCGAAGGCAUCUUCAGCAGCUGGGAAGAAUUUCGGUCAGGGAUGAGCUCGCGGCCUAUCAGCUUGUUGGUGAGGUAAUGGCUCACCAAGGCGUCGACGGGUAGCCGGCCUGAGGGUGACCGGCCACACUGGGACUGAGACACGGCCCAGACUCCUACGGGAGGCAGCAGUGGGGAAUAUUGCACAAUGGGCGAAAGCCUGAUGCAGCAACGCCGCGUGAGGGACGACGGCCUUCGGGUUGUAAACCUCUUUUAGCAGGGAAGAAGCGAAAGUGACGGUACCUGCAGAAAAAGCGCCGGCUAACUACGUG
rnacentral:rRNA from 1 species